UGAACGCUGGCGGCGUGCCUAAUACAUGCAAGUCGAGCGAACAGACGAGGAGCUUGCUCCUCUGACGUUAGCGGCGGACGGGUGAGUAACACGUGGAUAACCUACCUAUAAGACUGGGAUAACUUCGGGAAACCGGAGCUAAUACCGGAUAAUAUAUUGAACCGCAUGGUUCAAUAGUGAAAGACGGUUUUGCUGUCACUUAUAGAUGGAUCCGCGCCGCAUUAGCUAGUUGGUAAGGUAACGGCUUACCAAGGCAACGAUGCGUAGCCGACCUGAGAGGGUGAUCGGCCACACUGGAACUGAGACACGGUCCAGACUCCUACGGGAGGCAGCAGUAGGGAAUCUUCCGCAAUGGGCGAAAGCUUGACGGGGCAACGCCGCGUGAGUGAUGAAGGUCUUCGGAUCGUAAAACUCUGUUAUUAGGGAAGAACAAAUGUGUAAGUAACUAUGCACGUCUUGACGGUACCUAAUCAGAAAGCCACGGCUAACUACGUG
rnacentral:rRNA from 1 species